CGGCAASGGAUAUCUCGGCUCUMGCAUCGAUGAAGAACGUAGCGAAAUGCGAUACUUGGUGUGAAUUGCAGAAUCCCGUGAACCAUCGAGUCUUUGAACGCAAGUUGCGCCCCAAGCCGUCAGGCCGAGGGCACGCCKGCCUGGGCGUCACGCAACGUCGCCCCCUCCCCA
rnacentral:rRNA from 1 species